rnacentral:lncRNA from 1 species
GAAAGAUAACAAUAGACGUCUCUCUCAUAAAGAAUCCCAAGGAACAGAACUGAAUACUGUGCCACUGAAGAGCUCUUUAAAUGUUGAUUCAAUACUCUGUGGUCUACUUAUGAUCCCCAAACCAAUCUGUGACUCAUUCAACACUAAGAGGUUAUCUGUUCUGAAGGAGAAAAAGAGACAUUGUAAAUCAGGUGGCAAUCAGUGAUUCCAAACGGAAUUGAACAUAUUCUUUGUCCAAAUGAACAGAAGACGUUGGUAUGAAUUGUGUACUCUCCAUGAGAAGUAGAUACAGCCAAAGCUGGUUACCAGAGGGUGAGCACAAUGCAGCAGCAGCUCCCAAGUCAUCUUGGACGAGCGUCUCGAGUUAGGUCAUCAAGCUGAAUGAGGUCACCUACAUAGAGUUUAGACAACUGCAAAGUAGAAAAAUAUGACCCAAGACUGGCUUAAGACCUCAACACAGCUACAGAGCCAAUGGCAGCUGGAAACUCUUAAGGGCUAAACGCAAUGGCGAGAGUAAUUUUGACAUCAAAGGCAUCAGUUUGACAAAUGAAAAUCAAAUUGGAUGAACUUUAAUGCAAACAGCUGGCUGUGAUGCAACUAAAAGAAGCAGAUUUCCUGGAGUCAGCCAAACAGAUUUAUUAGAAUCCUCCAUACCUCCCAAGGAGAAUGUAAAUACAGAGUUUUUAAUUUUCAAGUUUUUCCAUUCCAAACAAUGGAAGGGAGAGCAUGGUGUUCGUGAUCAGCAAGAUGAAGGAUCCAGACUACUUCCAUCUUGUGGCUCUGCAGUCUUCCUAGCAACUUCCAAGAUGUCUAUGUUCCCAAAGACAAACAAGGACCGGAGUGAUUGUAUGUGUGAGAAUUUAAGGGACAGGCCUGGAGGUGGCAUGGAUUUCUUGCAUUAAUAUUCCAUUGGCUAGAACUCAAUUCACAUGUCCCCAUCCAAGUGCAGGGGAGGGGAAAGACUGUUUAUCUUGUGUGCCCAGGAAGAAAGAGAGUAUGUUGAAUCAUUCAUCAGUUCUGCCAUAUACUGAAUUAUUUUAUAACCUGAUAUUUUUAUUUAAAAAAUAUUUCAUUGAAUGAUGUAAUAACAUUCCUCUUGUAGAAUUUUUGAAGCAAGUAGUCAUCUGUUUAGCUGAACUGUCAACUUUUUAAAAUACUUAAAAACAAUUCUUUCUUAUAUUAUGAUUAUAUGUAAUUAGCCACAUGCAAAUCCAUGACACUUAUAUCUUUAUUGUGGAUUUUACUUUUUAUCACUAUAAUAUGACUCUACUCAUCUAUUCCUUUUGUCUUGGGUUCUAUUUUGCUUUAAAUAAAUGCUAUCACUCAUGCCUCCCUUUUGUUUCUAUUUGCUUGGCCAUUGUUAUAACUUUUCAGAAUCACUUUAUUUUACUUUUGUCUCUUAUAGAUUGUAUGUAGUUGGAUAU